AAGAUCAUAAAACCUAAAAGAAAGCUUUUAUAAUUUUGUUAGAGAAGAAACAAAAAAUGAAGCCAUCAACCACGACUAUAGUUUUGUUGCUCCUCCUCUUCGUUUCUACUCUUUGUACUUUAAAUAAUGUGAAUGCUAGGUCUUUGAUUUGCAAGAGCAGUAAAGAUUGCAUAAACCAGUGUGGUUCUCCCGGUUGUCCAGCUCCUGCUACAUGUACUUGUGUCUCUGGAAAGUGUGAUUGCGCCCAUAUAGAAAUUGCUGUAGAAUCCGUAUUUGGACCGUUAAACGGUCAUACUUAAAGAACAUAUUGAAAUUAUUAUAAAUUAUAAUUAAAUUAUCUACUAAAAUGCCACAAUAAGAAUAAGUUAUUAUAAUUAUAAAUAAUAUUUAUAUUGUAUUCUCUUGCCAA